GACGUAGGGCGCGAGCGUUGUCCGGAUUUAUUGGGCGUAAAGAGCCUCGUAGGCGGCUUGUCGCGUCGAAUGUGAAAACUCGGGGCUCAACUCCGAGCUUGCAUUCGAUACGGGCAGGCUAGAGUUCGGUAGGGGAGGACUGGAAUUCCUGGUGUAGCGGUGAAAUGCGCAGAUAUCAGGAGGAACACCGGUGGCGAAGGCGGGUCUCUGGGCCGAUACUGACGCUGAGGAGCGAAAGCGUGGGGAGCGAACAGG
rnacentral:rRNA from 1 species